UGGGGAAUAUUGGACAAUGGGCGCAAGCCUGAUCCAGCAAUGCCGCGUGUGUGAAGAAGGCCUUCGGGUUGUAAAGCACUUUUAUCAGGAGCGAAACGCUGUCGGCUAAUACCCGGCGGAACUGACGGUACCUGAGGAAUAAGCACCGGCUAACUUCGUGCCAGCAGCCGCGGUAAUCGAAGGGUGCAAGCGUUAAUCGGAAUUACUGGGCGUAAAGCGUGCGUAGGCGGUUUCUUAAGUCUGCUGUGAAAUCCCCGGGCUCAACCUGGGAAUGGCAGUGGAUACCGGGAGGCUAGAGUGUGUCAGAGGGUGGUGGAAUUCCCGGUGUAGCGGUGAAAUGCGCAGAGAUCGGGAGGAACAUCAGUGGCGAAGGCGGCCACCUGGGACAACACUGACGCUGAGGCACGAAAGCGUGGGGAGCAAACAGGAUUAGAUACCCUGGUAGUCCACGCCCUAAACGAUGCGAACUGGAUGUUGGUCUCAACUCGGAGAUCAGUGUCGAAGCUAACGCGUUAAGUUCGCCGCCUGGGGGAGUACGGUCG
rnacentral:rRNA from 1 species